CAGCAUGCAAUCCUAAGGACCGGAGCUCUCCUGUAGCCCCUGGUUCUCCAAGUGCAUGCCAGAGCAACGGGGAGUCUUUGACUGUCACGGCCUUCCCGUGCCUUUGGCAGUCACUCUACUGUCCAACACGC